AGUGAACGCUGGCGGUAGGCCUAACACAUGCAAGUCGAACGGCAGCACAGUAAGAGCUCGCUCUUACGGGUGGCGAGUGGCGGACGGGUGAGGAAUACAUCGGAAUCUACUUUUUCGUGGGGGAUUACGUAGGGAAACUUACGCUAAUACCGCAUACGACCUACGGGUGAAAGCAGGGGAUCUUCGGACCUUGCGCGAUUGAAUGAGCCGAUGUCGGAUUAGCUAGUUGGCGGGGUAAAGGCCCACCAAGGCGACGAUCCGUAGCUGGUCUGAGAGGAUGAUCAGCCACACUGGAACUGAGACACGGUCCAGACUCCUACGGGAGGCAGCAGUGGGGAAUAUUGGACAAUGGGCGCAAGCCUGAUCCAGCCAUACCGCGUGGGUGAAGAAGGCCUUCGGGUUGUAAAGCCCUUUUGUUGGGAAAGAAAAGCAGCAGGUUAAUACCCCGCUGUUCUGACGGUACCCAAAGAAUAAGCACCGGCUAACUUCGUG
rnacentral:rRNA from 1 species